GCGCUCAUAGGCGGCUUGUCACGCCGGGUGUGAAAGCCCCGGGCUCAACCUGGGAACGGCAUCCGGAACGGGCAGGCUAGAGUGCAGGAGAGGAAGGUAGAAUUCCCGGUGUAGCGGUGAAAUGCGUAGAGAUCGGGAGGAAUACCAGUGGCGAAGGCGGCCUUCUGGACUGACACUGACGCUGAGGUGCGAAAGCGUGGGUAGCAAACAGGAUUAGAUACCCUGGUAGUCCACGCCGUAAACGAUGUCGACUAGCCGUUGGGUCCCUUGAGGACUUAGUGGCGCAGUUAACGCGAUAAGUCGACCGCCUGGGGAGUACGGCCGCAAGGUUAAAACUCAAAUGAAUUGACGGGGGCCCGCACAAGCGGUGGAGCAUGUGGUUUAAUUCGAUGCAACGCGAAGAACCUUACCUACCCUUGACAUCCUGCGAACCCGGAAGAGAUUCCGGGGUGCCUUCGGGAGCGCAGAGACAGGUGCUGCAUGGCUGUCGUCAGCUCGUGUUGUGAAAUGUUGGGUUAAGUCCCGUAACGAGCGCAACCCUUGUCCCUAUUUGCCAGCGAUUCGGUCGGGAACUCUAGGGAGACUGCCGGUGACAAACCGGAGGAAGGUGGGGACGACGUCAAGUCAUCAUGGCCCUUACGGGUAGGGCUACACACGUGCUACAAUGGCCCGGUACAAAGGGUUGCGAAGCCGCGAGGUGAAGCCUAUCCCAGAAAGCCGGGCCUCAGUCCUGGAUUGGAGUCUGCAACUCGACUCCAUGAAGUCGGAAUCGCUAGUAAUCGUGCAUCAGAAUGGCACGGUGAAUACGUUCCCGGGCCUUGUACACACCGCCCGUCACACCAUGGGAGUGGAU
rnacentral:rRNA from 1 species